UCCUGACUGACCGAUAGUGAACCAGUACCGUGAGGGAAAGGCGAAAAGAACCCCGGCGAGGGGAGUGAAAAAGAACCUGAAACCGUGUACGUACAAGCAGUGGGAGCACGCUUAGGCGUGUGACUGCGUACCUUUUGUAUAAUGGGUCAGCGACUUAUAUUCUGUAGCAAGGUUAACCGAAUAGGGGAGCCGAAGGGAAACCGAGUCUUAACUGGGCGUUAAGUUGCAGGGUAUAGACCCGAAACCCGGUGAUCUAGCCAUGGGCAGGUUGAAGGUUGGGUAACACUAACUGGAGGACCGAACCGACUAAUGUUGAAAAAUUAGCGGAUGACUUGUGGCUGGGGGUGAAAGGCCAAUCAAACCGGGAGAUAGCUGGUUCUCCCCGAAAGCUAUUUAGGUAGCGCCUCGUGAAUUCAUCUCCGGGGGUAGAGCACUGUUUCGGCAAGGGGGUCAUCCCGACUUACCAACCCGAUGCAAACUGCGAAUACCGGAGAAUGUUAUCACGGGAGACACACGGCGGGUGCUAACGUCCGUCGUGAAGAGGGAAACAACCCAGACCGCCAGCUAAGGUCCCAAAGUCAUGGUUAAGUGGGAAACGAUGUGGGAAGGCCCAGACAGCCAGGAUGUUGGCUUAGAAGCAGCCAUCAUUUAAAGAAAGCGUAAUAGCUCACUGGUCGAGUCGGCCUGCGCGGAAGAUGUAACGGGGCUAAACCAUGCACCGAAGCUGCGGCAGCGACGCUUAUGC
rnacentral:rRNA from 1 species